UACGAAGGGGGCUAGCGUUGUUCGGAAUUACUGGGCGUAAAGCGCACGCAGGCGGAUUGAUAAGUCGGGGGUGAAAUCCCGGGGCUCAACCCUGGAAUGGCCUUCGAGACUGCCGGUCUUGAGUUCGAGAGAGGUGGGUGGAAUUCCGAGUGUAGAGGUGAAAUUCGUAGAUAUUCGGAGGAACACCAGUGGCGAAGGCGGCCCACUGGCUCGACACUGACGCUGAGGUGCGAAAGCGUGGGGAGCAAACAGG
rnacentral:rRNA from 1 species